UAAAACGUAGGGGGCGAGCGUUAUCCGGAAUUACUGGGCGUAAAGGGCGUCUAGGCGGCUUGCUAAGUCUUGUGUGAAAUCUCCCGGCUCAACUGGGAGGGUGCAUGGGAAACUGGCAGGCUUGAGACUCGAAGGGGGGUGCGGAAUUCCCGGUGGAGCGGUGGAAUGCGUUGAUAUCGGGAGGAACACCCGAGGCGAAGGCGGCACCCUGGUCGAGGUCUGACGCUGAAGCGCGACAGCGUGGGGAGCGAACGGGAUUAGAUACCCCGGUAGUCCACGCCGUAAACGAUGACAACUAGGUGUCGGGUGUCCUACGAGGCGCUCGGUGCCGCAGCCAACGCGAUAAGUUGUCCGCCUGGGGAGUACGGCCGCAAGGCUA
rnacentral:rRNA from 1 species